GGCUGCGUCGCCCAGUCGGUUUCGGGGUUACCUCCAGUGGCAGGUCGAGCGCGCCCCCGCGGCGCGCGUCACGCCUCAGACCUCUAAUCGGGAAAGACUACCCGCUGAGUUUAA
rnacentral:rRNA from 1 species